rnacentral:miRNA from 1 species
UGCAUUCUUAUCCUGUCUCAGC